GACGAACGCUGGCGGCGUGCUUAACACAUGCAAGUCGAACGAUGAAGCCAGCUUGCUGGUGGCUUAGUGGCGAACGGGUGAGUAACACGUGGGUGAUCUGCCCCAAACUUUGGGAUAAGCCUGGGAAACUGGGUCUAAUACCGAAUAUGACCGAUACACGCAUGGGUGUUGGGGGAAAGCUACGGCGGUUUGGGAUGGGCGCGCGGCCCAUCAGCUUGUUGGGGUGGUAAUGGCCUACCAAGGCGACGAGGCGUAGCCGGCCUGGGCUGGCGGCCGGCCACGCUGGGCCUGGAACGCGACCCGGCCUCCACCCGUACGCGGCGGAGCAGUGUGUUGUAUUAUGGGAGCAACGCUGGUGCGACGACGCAGCGUCGGGGAUGACGGCCAUGCGUUUGUGUACCAAUUUCAUCUGAGCCGAGGCGAAAGUGACGGUACCGGGAGAAGAAGCACCGGCUAACUACGUG
rnacentral:rRNA from 1 species